GGGCUUAUGAGAUUGGGC
rnacentral:siRNA from 1 species